rnacentral:rRNA from 1 species
GACGAACGCUGGCGGCGUGCUUAACACAUGCAAGUCGAACGGAAAGGCCCUGCUUUUGUGGGGUGCUCGAGUGGCGAACGGGUGAGUAACACGUGAGUAACCUGCCCUUGACUUUGGGAUAACUUCAGGAAACUGGGGCUAAUACCGGAUAGGAGCUCCUGCUGCAUGGUGGGGGUUGGAAAGUUUCGGCGGUUGGGGAUGGACUCGCGGCUUAUCAGCUUGUUGGUGGGGUAGUGGCUUACCAAGGCUUUGACGGGUAGCCGGCCUGGGAGGGUGACCGGCCACAUUGGGACUGCGAUACGGCCCAGAAUCCUACGGGAGGCAGCAGUGGGGAAUAUUGCACAGUGGGCGGAAGCCUGAUGCAGCAACGCCGCGUGCGGAAUGACGGCCUACGGGUUGUAAACCGCUUUCGCCUGAGACGAAGCGUGAGUGACGGUAAUGGGUAAAGAAGCACCGGCUAACUACGUG